rnacentral:misc_RNA from 1 species
CAAGGGGACCUUAUGGACCUAUAGAUUAGAAGCUCCAAUGAUAUGAGAUUAAUUAAUUAAAUUCUUUAACUAAAUUAAUCAUUAUUCAUUAAUUGUAGGUCACUCCACAAAAGACUUAUAGUUGCACUCUUCACACUAUAGAUAUAUUUCUGUGUCCACGGAUAUAACUAAUCAACACUAAGUCGACCUUUCAUAAAUUACUUGUAAUUACAGCUGGG